rnacentral:rRNA from 1 species
GGAGGUUGGCUUAGAAGCAGCCAUCCUUUAAAGAAAGCGUAAUAGCUCACUAGUCGAGUCGGCCUGCGCGGAAGAUGUAACGGGGCUAAACUGAGAACCGAAGCUGCGGAUGCAUAGUUUACUAUGCAUGGUAGAGGAGCGUUCUGUAAGCCGUUGAAGGUGCAUCGUAAGGUGUGCUGGAGGUAUCAGAAGUGCGAAUGCUGACGUGAGUAACGAUAAAGGGGGUGAAAAACCCCCUCGCCGGAAGAUCAAGGUUUCCUGUCCAACGCUAAUCGGGACAGGGUUAGUCGGCACCUAAGGCGAGGCCGAAAGGCGUAGUCGAUGGAAAACAGGUUAAUAUUCCUGUACCUCUUUAUACUGCGAUGGGGGGACGGAGAAGGCUAGGUGAUCAGGGCGUUGGUUGUCCCUGUAUAAGCUUGUAGGGAGAUCUCUUAGGUAAAUCCGGGAGGUCAUAUCCUGAGGAGUGAUAUCGAGCUCAAUUGCGAGCGAAGUCAUUGAUGCCAUGCUUCCAAGAAAAGCCUCUAAGCUUCAGGUAUAAAGAGACCGUACUCUAAACCGACACAGGUGAUCAGGUAGAGAAUACCAAGGCGCUUGAGAGAACUCAGGUGAAGGAACUAGGCAAAAUGGUGCCGUAACUUCGGGAGAAGGCACGCCAAUUUUGGUGACGGGACUUGCUCCCCGAGCUGAAGUUGGCCGCAGAGACCAGGCCCCUGCGACUGUUUAUCUAAAACACAGCACUCUGCAAACUCGUAAGAGGAAGUAUAGGGUGUGACGCCUGCCCGGUGCCGGAAGGUUAAUUGAUGGGGUUAGCUUAGGCGAAGCUCUUGAUCGAAGCCCCGGUAAACGGCGGCCGUAACUAUAACGGUCCUAAGGUAGCGAAAUUCCUUGUCGGGUAAGUUCCGACCUGCACGAAUGGCGUAACGAUGGGGGCGCUGUCUCCACCUGAGACUCAGUGAAAUCGAAAUCGCGGUGAAGAUGCCGUGUUCCCGCGGCUAGACGGAAAGACCCCGUGAACCUUUACUAUAGCUUGGCACUGAACUUUGAACCUAUCUGUGUAGGAUAGGUGGGAGGCUUUGAAGCGUGAUCGCUAGAUUGCGUGGAGCCAUCCUUGAAAUACCACCCUGGUAUGUUUGAGGUUCUAACGCAGACCCGUUAUCCGGGUCGCGGACAGUGUCUGGUGGGUAGUUUGACUGGGGCGGUCUCCUCCCAAAGAGUAACGGAGGAGCGCGAUGGUACACUCAGCAUGGUCGGAAAUCAUGCUAUGAGCGCAAAGGUAGAAGUGUGCUUGACUGCGAGACUGACACGUCGAGCAGGUACGAAAGUAGGUCUUAGUGAUCCGGUGGUUCUGUAUGGAAGGGCCAUCGCUCAACGGAUAAAAGGUACUCCGGGGAUAACAGGCUGAUACCGCCCAAGAGUUCAUAUCGACGGCGGUGUUUGGCACCUCGAUGUCGGCUCAUCACAUCCUGGGGCUGAAGUCGGUCCCAAGGGUAUGGCUGUUCGCCAUUUAAAGUGGUACGCGAGCUGGGUUCAGAACGUCGUGAGACAGUUCGGUCCCUAUCUGCCGUGGGCGUUGGAAAAUUGAGGAAAGCUGCUCCUAGUACGAGAGGACCGGAGUGGACGAACCGCUGGUGUUUGGGUUGUCAUGCCAAUGGCAUUGCCCAGUAGCUACGUUCGGACAGGAUAACCGCUGAAAGCAUCUAAGCGGGAAGCCCCUUCCAAGAUUAAUUUUCCCUGGGAGUUUAACUUCCCUGAAGGGCCGUUCAAGACUAGGACGUUGAUAGGUUGGGUGUGGAAGCGCUGUGAGGCGUUGAGCUAACCAAUACUAAUUGCCCGUGAGGCUUGACC